CAGCAGCCGCGGGAAUACGAAGGGUGCAAGCGUUACUCGGAAUUACUGGGCGUAAAGCGUGCGUAGGUGGUGGUUUAAGUCCGUUGUGAAAGCCCUGGGCUCAACCUGGGAAUUGCAGUGGAUACUGGGUCACUAGAGUGUGGUAGAGGAUAGUGGAAUUUCCGGUGUAGCAGUGAAAUGCGUAGAGAUCGGAAGGAACAUCUGUGGCGAAGGCGACCAUCUGGGCCAACACUGACACUGAGGCACGAAAGCGUGGGGAGCAAACAGGAUUAGAUACCCGUGUAGUCCCUGUCUCUUAUAC
rnacentral:rRNA from 1 species